UACGGAGGAUGCAAGCGUUAUCCGGAAUUAUUGGGCGUAAAGCGUCCGUAGGUGGCUAAUCAAGUCUGCUGUCAAAGCGUGGAGCUUAACUCCAUACCGGCGGUGGAAACUGAUGAGCUAGAGUGCGAUAGGGGUAGCAGGAAUUCCCAGUGUAGCGGUGAAAUGCGUAGAGAUCGGGAAGAACAUCGGUGGCGAAAGCGCUCUACUGGACCACAACUGACACUCAGGGACGAAAGCUAGGGGAGCGAAUGGG
rnacentral:rRNA from 1 species